CUAUACAGUUAUUGUGAUCGAUUCAAGAUGUUGAUGAAGAUUUUAUUUGUUGCACUUGCUUUAUUUGCUGUAAGUAAAGGUGAAACCUGCCCAGAUGGAUCAGAGAUGACCGUUUGUAAUAAUGAUCCAUGUAUAACAGCUACUUGUUUUACUUAUCCAGGUGCAGAUUGUGUGACGAAUUUUUGUGGAAGCGAGGCCUGUACAGCACAGUUCUUUGUGAAUGAAAACAAAGUUACGUGUUAGCAUACAAACAAUGU